rnacentral:rRNA from 1 species
GAUGAACGCUGGCGGCGUGCCUAACACAUGCAAGUCGAACGGAGUCCAGCCUUUAAGACCUUCGGGUCAAAGAGGGGAAGACUGAGUGGCGGACGGGUGAGUAACACGUGGGCAACCUGGCUCAUAGAGGGGGAUAACAGAGAGAAAUUUCUGCUAAUACCGCAUAAGCACACACUGCCGCAUGGCAGAGGGUGAAAAGAGAAUCGCUAUGAGAUGGACCCGCGUCUGAUUAGCCAGUUGGCAGGGUAAGAGCCUACCAAAGCGACGAUCAGUAGCCGAUCUGAGAGGAUGACCGGCCACAUUGGGACUGGGCCCCGGCCCACACUCCUACGGGAGGCAGCAGUGGGGGAUAUUGCACAAUGGGGGGAACCCUGAUGCAGCGACGCCGCGUGAGUGAGGAAGUAUUUCGGUAUGUAAAGCUCUAUCAGCAGGAAAGAUAAUGACGGUACCUGAAUAAGAAGCCCCGGCUAACUACGUG